AGAAACCAGUACUCACAAUAAACCCUACCUAGACUUACAAUGAAAUAAAAGUAUCAAAACAUCUGAGUUUGAAAUGUUCAAACCAGGAGAAACUGAGAGGUGAAUGUAGAAGCAGGAGACUUUCAUUAUAGCUGUGUCUGGUUAUCUAAGGAAACACAGGCUGGAGUCCUACAAUCACACAAAAUUCUGCCAACAAUCUAAAUGAACCUGGAGCAUCUCCUGAUAAGAUCUGAGUUUUGUGAGACCCACUGCAGAGAAACUACUGGAACCCCUGAACUUCUGACCUUCUGAACUUGCUGAAGAAGACUCUUGAUCAACAUACCUCUGCUGAAGUUUUCCCUGGCAUUCAAGAGGACAGAUUACCAGGAACUUCCACUGGUGUGACACCACGUGACUUGUUUGCCAUUUGAUGAGCCAUCACCAUACCAUUUCCAACAGGGACUGGAUCACAGUCCUGGCCAAGGUUAUUUUGCUUAUAGUUUCACAACAUAUUUUGGAAAUCCCUGGAUUACUAAAAAACAAAUGUUCUUUUCUUUCUUCUGUUUGACACUAUGUAAAAUAAAUUGAGAAGUCAGUUGCUUUGGAGAAUUCAUCCUACAUGUUUAUGCACAGCAUUGAUGCGUUGAAUCAUCUCACCAGAAUAUAUAAAUGUGUAUUUAUUUCUGACACUUCUGGUUCAUGGAUUUGAAGUCUUCAGUUUAAAGACAAAUUAACUUUCAAGCUUCAAAGGCAAGAUAACAUUCAUCCUCACUCUACUGUAGCUCCACCAAUAGUAAUUGAAGAAGAAACAACUAAACCGGAUGUCAGGGCCCCUGAACACUAUGGAUUUAGAGGGCUACACAGUGAAAAAAGAUUGCCAGGUCCUAACUUUAAUAGCUGGCACAGAUCUGGUUUUAAUUAAUCCUUGGCAGAUUGGAUGGCCUCUAUGAAGCAUUUAAGAGAUAUUUCCACACUAUCAGGCCAUGAAAUAGUGCCCAGGAGUGACACACACUGCCUCUUUCCCUGGAAGAUCACAACUUAUUUCCAGAUGGACAAGGAAAAGUUCAAUUAAUCUCUACAUCUGGUAUUUGCAGGCUUUAUCAACUUGCUAAAGUUCAGUUUCUUCUAAGCA